rnacentral:rRNA from 1 species
CCUACGGGAGGCAGCAGUAGGGAAUCUUCCACAAUGGACGAAAGUCUGAUGGAGCAACGCCGCGUGAGUGAUGAAGGUUUUCGGAUCGUAAAACUCUGUUGUAAGGGAAGAACAAGUACGAGAGGGAAUGCUCGUACCUUGACGGUACCUUGCGAGAAAGCCACGGCUAACUACGUGCCAGCAGCCGCGGUAAUACGUAGGUGGCAAGCGUUGUCCGGAAUUAUUGGGCGUAAAGCGCGCGCAGGCGGCCUUUUAAGUCUGAUGUGAAAGCCCCCGGCUCAACCGGGGAGGGUCAUUGGAAACUGGAAGGCUUGAGUACAGAAGAGAAGAGUGGAAUUCCAUGUGUAGCGGUGAAAUGCGUAGAGAUGUGGAGGAACACCAGUGGCGAAGGCGACUCUUUGGUCUGUAACUGACGCUGAGGCGCGAAAGCGUGGGGAGCAAACAGGAUUAGAUACCCUGGUAGUCCACGCCGUAAACGAUGAGUGCUAGGUGUUGGGGGGUUUCCGCCCCUUCGAGUGUCUGAGACUACGACAUAAGACACNCCGCCGUCGGGAGGUACGGCCGGCGACGGACGUAGAAACGUUAAAGGUAAAGUUAGUACGGCGUGAGACGUGACCGACGGACGACGACGAGGGAGGAGG